UGGGGAAUCUUGCACAAUGGGGGCAACCCUGAUGCAGCGACGCCGCGUGAGCGAUGAAGCCCUUCGGGGUGUAAAGCUCUUUCGGCAGGGAAGAUAAUGACGGUACCUGCAGAAGCAGCUGCGGCUAACUACGUGCCAGCAGCCGCGGUAAUACGUAGGCAGCAAGCGUUGUUCGGAGUUACUGGGCGUAAAGGGUGUGUAGGCGGCUUUCUAAGUUUGGUGUGAAAUCUCCCGGCUUAACCGGGAGGGUGCGCCGAAGACUGGAAGGCUAGAGUAUGGGAUGGGAGAGUGGAAUUCCUGGUGUAGCGGUGAAAUGCGUAGAUAUCAGGAGGAACACCUGCGGUGUAGACGGCUCUCUGGACCAUUACUGACGCUGAGACACGAAAGCGUGGGUAGCAAACAGGAUUAGAUACCCCCGUAGUCC
rnacentral:rRNA from 1 species